rnacentral:tRNA from 1 species
GCCGAAGUGCGCCAAAGGGAAGAGCGGCCUGAUUCAAGUCCAGGCGGGUGCGGGUUCGAGUCCCGCCUUCGGCU